ensembl:lncRNA
GAGGAAUUGCCAUGCACUGGUGGUUAUUACUGGUUUAGUUGUAAUUCAAAAAGUCCUCGCAUAUUUUGAUUCAGUUUUGGCAAGGAAGUCUGGUGAAUAAGUUGCAGAAGGUUUCUUCCAAGAAGGAGCUGUAAAGUAGAAAGAAAGGUGGAUGAAGAAGAUAGCAUUACACAAGGGAAUAUUACAAUGAAGUAGGAAGUUCAAAAUUGUUUUUCAAGGAUCAGCACUAGGAUCAGCUGUGCUCUAGUGUGUGACCCUUACACACGGAGAGGAAAAAUCCUGGUGAAAUUAGCAUAAUGGUGCGAAACUAAGAUAAAAAUGAAGAUGAAACAGGGAAACACAGGAUGUACUUGAGGACUGGAGUUACAGAAAGAAGUCUGAAUAAUAAAAUGAAAGCACUUGAGACAUAUGGAAAAAAAUAUAGCACAACAGCAGAUUAAAGGUAGGGAAACACAUUGUUCUGCUUCCAUUGUCAGUGGGUAGUGAAUAUCCUGUGAAGACUGGAGAUCAUACACAACAUGUAUUUAGCUGGAAUACCCUUGUGGCCUCCAGCAGCUUGUUCUUCAGUUGUGUUCUGAUUUUCUCCCAUAGACACAGAUGGUUUUUUUGUAUUUUCUAUCCUUCCCAGCAACUUAUCUAAUCACUUUGAACUCAACUUGACUUUUGGCAACCACAAGAUCCCUAGUCAGGAAUUGUCAUGGUUUAACUAAACUUUAUGUAAAGAAUCACUUUUUUUUUUUUUUUUCUCUCUUUUGCCUGUAAUAAUCUUGUUCCCUGAUAAUUUUUUUUUGUUGCAUUCUAGUAUGAAGUGCAACUAGCAGUUUCUCAUUGAUCCCCACUCUAAGCUGAGAAGCUUGCCAGCUGUCAUACUGAAAUAAACUCAGAAAGCUCACCCUCUUUCACAUAACAAUGUGGAAGUAGGAGCUUCCUCCCAGGAGUGAGCUGCUUAGAUCUAAAUAGCAGUGGUGGCCCCAGAAAAAUAGGUGAGAAAAUUGGCAAGGCAUAAAUGUGGGGUGGAUUGUGAAAUUUCUAUUUGCAGAGCAGUAGAUCAUCUCAACAGUUGGGUCGGAGGGCUGUGGCGAGGUUAUGGAACAGUGAUUUUACAACAGACAUCUCAGUGGAAUGUUGAAUGCCGAUCAUCUCAGACAAUGGUUCAGAGCUAAAAUAUAUGCUCUUAGCUCACCCUAUAAGCAAAGUUGUGCUCUGUCAUGUGUGAGAGCUGGUGAUGGGAUCCAGCUCCCUAGGAUGUCCCUUUCCACCAUAUGUUCCUACGUUGUCUGGCUGCAGAGGACCUCUUUUUUCUCACCCAGAUUCACACUCCC